UUAAAUUCUGUACUGAGUCUCAAUCCUUCCCAAAGCUGUAUGCUGUGUUGGAGAGGACUACCUUCUCCAAUAGAGGAGGACUGGUCUUUGGUCAAGGGUAAGGGAUCUAAUUCCUAGGUCCUUGAUCCCCCUAAGAAAUAGACCAGAGACCCAGAGGAAAAAGUAGGCCCAAAUCUUCAUCACAUCAGAUUAGGCCUCUUAAUAAGACUGCUAAAGU
rnacentral:sRNA from 1 species